GAUGAACGCUGGCGGCGUGCCUAAUACAUGCAAGUCGAGCGAACAGACGAGGCGCUUGCUCCUCUUACGUUAGCGGCGGACGGGUGACUAACAUGUCGCUAACCUACCUUUAAGACUGCGAUAACUUCGGGCUCCCGUAGCUGAUACCGUAUAAUAUAUUCAACCGCAGGGUUCAAUAGUGAAAGCCGUUUUUGCUGUUACUUAUAGAUGUAUCCGCGCCGCAUUAGCUAUGUGGUAAGGUAACGGCUUUCCAAGGCAACGAUGCGUAGCCGACCUGAGAAUAUGAUCCGCCACACUGGGACGGAGACGCGGUACUGACUCCGACGCGCGGCACAGGUACGGAAUCGACCGCAAUGUGCGGAAGAUUGACGGAUCAGCGCCAGGUGAGCGAUGAAAGGCUUCGGAUCGUAGAACUCUGUUACUAGGGAAGAACACAUUUGUAAGUAACUAUGCACGUCUUGACGGUACCUAAACAAAAAGCCCCGGCUAACUACGUG
rnacentral:rRNA from 1 species